GAGUGUCAUGAAAACAUCAUCCUAUCGGGUUUCCGAUGGGGUGGACUUGGUGUUGCUGUCUGGCUCGCCUUAAAAGCCUUAGUGGUUCCAAGUCGAAUCUGGCGUGAUAAGUUUCGCUGGCCUAGACGAAGACUGCUUUACCCGUCUUGUGACAUUUUUGCUCUGACCUCAAAUCAGGUAGGACUACCCGCCGAACUUAA
rnacentral:misc_RNA from 1 species